rnacentral:rRNA from 1 species
UACAGAGGAGCCAAGCGUUGUCCGGAUUGACUGGGCGUAAAGCGCACGCAGGCGGCACCGCGCGUGGGGUGUGAAAUCUGGCCGCUUAACGGCCAGGCGCCAUCCCAUACGGCGGAGCUGGAGUGAUGCAGAGGUCGGUGGAAUUGCCGGUGUAGUGGUGAAAUGCGUAGAGAUCGGCAGGAACACCCGUGGCGAAAGCGGCGCGCUGGACCACUACUGACGCUGAGGAACGAAAGCUAGGGGAGCAAACAGG